UUCUGGUGCCAAUGGCGCGGUGGAACCACUCUGACCCCAUCUCGAACUCAGUUGUGAAACGCUGCUGCGGCGACGAUAGUUGGCGGGUAGCUGCCUGUAACAAUAGCGGGCGUGCCAGGA
rnacentral:rRNA from 1 species